AGCAGUCGCCGCGGGAAUACGUAGGGUGCAAGCGUUAAUCGGAAUUACUGGGCGUAAAGCGUGCGCAGGCGGUUCCGCAAGUCAGAUGUGAAAUCCCCGGGCUCAACCUGGGAACUGCAUUUGAAACUACGGAGCUAGAGUGUGUCAGAGGGGGGUGGAAUUCCACGUGUAGCAGUGAAAUGCGUAGAUAUGCGGAGGAACACCGAUGGCGAAGGCAGCCCCCUGGGCCAAUACUGACGCUCAUGCACGAAAGCGUGGGGAGCAAAUAGGAUUAGAUACCCCGGUAGUCCCUGUCUCUUAUAC
rnacentral:rRNA from 1 species